rnacentral:piRNA from 1 species
UAGCCUAGAGUGGGCAAUGCUUCCU